AAUGAACGCUGGCGGCAUGCCUUACACAUGCAAGUCGAACGGCAGCAUGACCUAGCUUGCUAGGUUGAUGGCGAGUGGCGAACGGGUGAGUAAUGCAUCGGAACGUGCCUUUUAGUGGGGGAUAACGUAGCGAAAGUUACGCUAAUACCGCAUAUUCUCUGAGGAGGAAAGCAGGGGACCUUCGGGCCUUGCGCUAGAAGAGCGGCCGAUGUCGGAUUAGCUAGUUGGUGAGGUAAAGGCUCACCAAGGCAACGAUCCGUAGCGGGUCUGAGAGGAUGAUCCGCCACACUGGGACUGAGACACGGCCCAGACUCCUACGGGAGGCAGCAGUGGGGAAUUUUGGACAAUGGGCGCAAGCCUGAUCCAGCCAUGCCGCGUGAGUGAAGAAGGCCUUCGGGUUGUAAAGCUCUUUCGGCUGGGAAGAAAUCGCACCCUCUAAUACAGGGUGUGGAUGACGGUACCAGCGUAAGAAGCACCGGCUAACUACGUG
rnacentral:rRNA from 1 species